GACGAACGCUGGCGGCGUGCUUAACACAUGCAAGUCGAACGAGGUCCACUGCGUAGCAAUACAAGGGAAGACCUAGUGGCGAAACGGGUGCGUAACACGUGAGGAACUUGUCCCGGUCUCUGGGAUAACAGUUGGAAACGACUGCUAAUACCGGAUGACGUCGGAAUCUCGCAUGGGAUACUGACGAAAGGGUUACUGGAUCGGGAGAGCCUCGCGGCCUAUCAGCUUGUUGGUGAGGUAACGGCUCACCAAGGCAUCGACGGUAGCUGGUCUGAGAGGAUGAUCAGCCACACUGGGACUGAGACACGGCCCAGACUCCUACGGAGGCAGCAGUGGGAAUCUUGCGCAAUGGGCGAAAGCCUGACGCAGCAACGCCGCGUGCGGGAAGAAGGCCUCGGUGUAAACCGCUUCAGUAGGAACGAAAAUGACGGUACCUGGCAGAAGAAAGGUG
rnacentral:rRNA from 1 species